rnacentral:rRNA from 1 species
GACGAACGCUGGCGGCGUGCCUAAUACAUGCAAGUCGAGCGAGCGGAACUAACAGAUUUACUUCGGUAAUGACGUUAGGAAAGCGAGCGGCGGAUGGGUGAGUAACACGUGGGGAACCUGCCCCAUAGUCUGGGAUACCACUUGGAAACAGGUGCUAAUACCGGAUAAGAAAGCAGAUCGCAUGAUCAGCUUUUAAAAGGCGGCGUAAGCUGUCGCUAUGGGAUGGCCCCGCGGUGCAUUAGCUAGUUGGUAAGGUAAAGGCUUACCAAGGCGAUGAUGCAUAGCCGAGUUGAGAGACUGAUCGGCCACAUUGGGACUGAGACACGGCCCAAACUCCUACGGGAGGCAGCAGUAGGGAAUCUUCCACAAUGGACGCAAGUCUGAUGGAGCAACGCCGCGUGAGUGAAGAAGAUUUUCGGAUCGUAAAGCUCUGUUGUUGGUGAAGAAGGAUAGAGGUAGUAACUGGCCUUUAUUUGACGGUAAUCAACCAGAAAGUCACGGCUAACUACGUG